CAAUAGCGUAUAUUAAAGUUGUUGCAGUUAAAAAGCUCGUAGUUGGAUUUCUGGACGGAGCAGCCGGUCCGCCGCUGUGCGGUGUGUACUCGUGCUUGACUCGGUUCAUCCUUGUGGGGAAGCGCAUUUCGGCAUUCAGUUGUCGAGGCGGGGAACCACAUCAUUUACUGUGAAAAAAUUAGAGUGUUUAAAGCAGGCAUUUUGCUGUGAAUACAUUAGCAUGGAAUAAUAACAUAGGACUUUGAUUCUAUUUUGUUGGUUGGAGAUCAAGGUAAUGAUUAAUAGGGAUAGUUGGGGGUAUUCAUAUUUAAUUGUCAGAGGUGAAAUUCUUGGAUUUAUGAAAGAUGAACUCAUGCGAAAGCAUUUACCAAGGAUGUUUUCAUUAA
rnacentral:rRNA from 1 species